UAUGUACUUGUAGCACUUCCAUUCCUGAGUAUAUAACCUGGAGAAAUUCUUGCUCGUGUGCACCAAGAGACACGUGCAAAGUCUUUAUGGUAAUACCAAUACUUAGCCAUAUCUGGAAACAGCCUAAAUAUAUAUUGUAUUCAUUUCUUAUUGUUGCUGUAACAAAUUACCACAAACUUGGUAGCUUAAAAUAUUACAUAUUUAUUGUCUUAUAGUUCUUCAUGCCAGAAGUCUGGAAUUGGGACCUUACAGGAUUAAAAAUCAAGGUCAGUGGAGUCCUAGAUGAUUGCUUGUGUGAUAUUGUCAGCAUUGAUAACUUCAAUACCUACAAAAUCUUCCCCAAAAUUAAAAAAUUGCAGGAGCGAGACUAUUUCCGUUAUUAUAAGGUUAAUCUGAAGCGACCAUGUCCUUUCUGGGCAGAAGAUGGCCAUUGUUCAAUAAAAGACUGUCAUGUAGAACCCUGCCCUGAGAGUAAAAUCCCAGUCGGAAUUAAAGCUGGAAGUUCUAAUAAGUAUUUGAAAGUGGCAAACAAUACCAAAGAAUUAGAAGAUUGUGAACAAGCUAAUAAACUGGGGGCAAUUAACAGCACAUUAAGUAAUCAAAGCAAAGAAGCUUUCAUUGACUGGGCAAGAUAUGAUGAUUCACAGGAUCACUUUUGUGAACUUGAUGAUGAGAGAUCUCCUGCUGCUCAAUAUGUAGACCUGUUGCUGAACCCCGAGCGCUACACUGGAUAUAAAGGGCCCUCUGCAUGGAGAGUAUGGAACAGCAUCUAUGAGGAAAACUGUUUCAAGCCUCGAUCUGUUUAUCGUCCUUUGAAUCCUCUGGCACCCAGCCGAGGAGAAGAUGAUGGAGAAUCAUUCUACACAUGGCUAGAAGGUUUGUGUCUGGAGAAAAGAGUCUUCUAUAAGCUUAUAUCAGGACUUCAUGCUAGUAUCAAUUUACAUCUAUGCUCAAAUUAUCUUUUGGAAGAAACCUGGGGUAAACCUAGUUGGGGACCUAAUAUUAAAGAAUUUAAACGCCGCUUUGACCCUGUGGAAACCAAGGGAGAAGGUCCAAGAAGGCUAAAGAAUCUGUACUUUUUAUACUUGAUUGAGCUUCGAGCUUUAUCAAAGGUGGCUCCAUAUUUUGAGCGCUCAGUUGUUGAUCUUUACACUGGAAAUGUAGAAGAAGAUGCUGAGACAAAAAACCUUCUAUUGAAUAUCUUUCAAGAUACAAAGUCCUUUCCCAUGCACUUUGAUGAGAAAUCCAUGUUUGCAGGUGACAAAAAGGGAGCCACAUCGUUAAAGGAGGAAUUCCGAUUGCAUUUCAAGAAUAUCUCCCGUAUAAUGGACUGUGUUGGAUGUGACAAAUGCAGGUUAUGGGGGAAAUUACAGACUCAGGGUUUAGGAACUGCCCUGAAGAUAUUAUUCUCUGAAAAAGAAAUUCAAAAGCUUCCAGAGAACAGCCCAUCCAAAGGCUUCCAGCUCACUCGACAGGAGAUAGUUGCUCUUUUAAAUGCUUUUGGAAGGCUUUCUACAAGCAUAAGAGAGUUACAGAAUUUUAAAGUCUUAAUACAAACACAGUAGCUCUGUGUGUCACCUUGGAUAAUAUGGAACUGUCAAUAUGAUGAAUGGCCCUUCAAAUGUAUAAUUGCAGAGGUUCCUCAAGAAUCUCCAGGACUUCAGUUUCAUUGGUUUUUAUUUAAGAUUUUAGUUGCUGUUUUUUUUUUUUGCUGUAAAGGAUCUGCCUUGAUAAAGGUGCCAUUGUAUCUAAGAAAGGACAACCAUUUUGAUCUUCAUCAGCAUUGCCUUCAGCUGGAAAUUUGGGAACAGUUCACAAUAAAAACCUCUCAGCAGUUUGCAAACUGAAGUACCUGCAGAAACCAUAGCUAUUCACCAAAAUACACAGAUUGGGUACAUGGUAUCAUGGAAAUUACUUGGUAAAACAAAACACAAGUUCAUGUGCACUCUAUCUUAAGUAAUAUCUAUAGGCACAGCUCUGACUUUGAACAGAAGUCCAAAUAAUUUGCUGUUGUACAACCACCAGAUUCUAGGAAAUGUGAAUUAAAGUAAAUGUUUCUGCAA